UAUGAUGCGCGUGUCCCUUCGCGAACGCGCGACAACAGCAAUGGCCGCCGUGGAAGGCCGAAAUCCUAAUCUCGACGAUUUUGUCGGAUUAAAUUGGAGUUGUUGGGUAGAUAGGGUGAAUAUAUUCACAUCUGACGCUGGUCUGUGUGCCGAAUAUGAAAGUGUCAUCAGUGAGACCAUGACCCUCAGCAAAGAAGAUAAGCACAUAUUUGGUGAGUGUCCUUCCCACGAUGACUUCUACCUGGUGGUGUGCAGCCACUGUGGCCUGGUGGUGAAGCCGCAAGCCUUUGAGAAACACUGCGAGAGGCGACACGAUCUCGUUCUGAAGAUGUGCGGACAGUCAUCUACGUUAGCGCCGCAGCAAAGACCUCGCCCCGGCCGCUCUGUCAACCUUUCCCUCUCCAGAGAGAGGCAGAAAGACAGCAGAUGUCUCGAAGCGAGCAUAACGACAGCAGAAUCACCUGGCCACCAUAAUAGGCCCACGAAGGCUCGAAAGGAAGGUGUGAGUUUAUCUUCAGUGGAGAACCCUCAUCUUCCUCACAAUGCUGCUGCCACACGCAGAACUUAUGUUUCUCAGUUUCAACCAAGUGUGCUGCCUUCGGGCCUCUGCUCUUCCUCAUCGUCUACCUCUCCCUCAAAGAGACCCCCGAUGCCAACAUCUAAACAUAUCAGUGAGUCUCCCACUCAUCUACGGGGAAAAGAAUCUUCCAGGAUUUGCACAAAAGCUCACAAGCAAAAAUGUGACCUGAAGAAACAAAGCAGUGAGAUGGAUCAAGCAAAACAGAAGCCACCUUGCAAGCUAAUAUGCAAUGCUGAAGGCAUCCUCCAGCAGCAGAGGUCGCAGGUGUUGGCGAAGCAGAGCGAAGCAUGUCGUAAUAUGGAGCCGCUUCCUGACGAACCUAAAGAGCAGCAUUUAGAAGCUUUAAAUAAGAAAAUAACAAACCUGAAAAACAGCCGGAGCAGCAAUUGUCACAUUCUCAGUCGGUCUAGAACUGCAUCGCAGAGCUUUCCAGAAGAGGAGGCUGACGGCACCGUGAAAGUGGAGGUCCAAACUCCGUACCCCUUCAAUCAGCACCUGCUCUCCGGCGAGGAGAGUGACGAUGAUGAGCAAGAGGAAGCUACUGAUCUGCCUGCCACAUCUUGGCACCCCAAACCUCUUGGUCUUUGCACUUUUGGAUGUCGCUCUCUGGCAUGCAACAUCUUCACCUUUGACAGGCGCCUGCACCACCUGCGGUUUGCCCUCACUGCCAUGUUGGAGCAUCAUGUUAGCACCCACCGCUGGAAGAAAAUACCUCAAGCAUCAUCAGGUCUCAGGUCUCAUCACGUCACAGAGUCUGCCAAGAAUGUGUCUGGACGUUCCCAUACCGCUGGCACCCUCAGCCUUGCCUGUGCCUCACUGGGACAACUUGAAAAAAAGUCACGGAGCACUAAACUACCAUCCAAUACCUCUGCAAAACGACCCGCCAGACUACGAAACCCUAUCGGGUUACCCGGCUCCAAUUUAUCGCAAAAUGAGCUGUCGUGCAGUAGUGAGGAAACAGCCUCAAGAUGUAGCACAGACAAGCGCCAACCUCAGGUGACAUCCUCCCAAGGACCAGUUAAUGGUCACCUCUCACAUGGAAAAAAGACAUGCCAUCCUCUUCCUUUACAGCCCUCAAAGAGACCUGUGUCAGCUUUAGUGCGGCAGUCUGCUUUAUUGUCCCCUGAUAAAGCGGCGACACCGCAUGUUAAGCACAAAAUAUCAGGCUCUAACCAAAGACCUCUAGGUAAAAAGAGAAAAAGUUGCAGUGAAUCCCAGCCUCUCAAGUGUCAGCGUUUGUCCUCCCUAAACUGCCCCAUCUCUUGGAAAGGAGAGAGCAUUGGGGAAGUGCAGUCAAGAAGCCCUGAGAAAAGACCAGCAUCCCAAAUACUAAAGUAACCAAACACACAUCGCCUUGGAGGGUUUUGGACUACACUUGUGCAUCAAUGCUAGAAGAUGAAAGGUUAAAUAAUCUGAGCGCUGACAGCUGGCGUGCAUCAUUGAGCAUGCAGCAUCUGUUUGGACUUGACAACAUCAGCCCCUCCUCUGUGCUGCCUGCCUGCAGCUCGGCAUGAUGGCUGUGCUCAGCAGAGAAGAUGCGUGCAAGGUUGGAGUGGAUGUGUGUUCAGUUACAGUGGAUUCCUGCAUAUAAAUCACGAUUCAGCUUUCGUGUCCCCGCAAAUUUUUUGGCGUAUUUUUAAAACUUUU